GGAAUGGUCGUGAAGACAAAACAAGGUGAUGCAUGCAGAGCACCUAACAUAGUACUUGGCUUCUAAUGGGUGCUGCCCCCACAUCCCCUAACACACAUACACAAACCGUGGAACAAGUGCAUGAUUUUUCUUCAGGGUGGCCAGCCACAUUGGGUGGGGCAGUAUUGGGAAAGCAUUAAAGAAUGCUUUCUCUGAGUUCUGAUUGUUGUUAUCUGGCUAAUAUUGUUACUCUCUUAUGACCAGAAUGAUGAACGCAUUGAAAGGAGGGAAUGUAGAUGGCUGAAAGUCACCUCUGUUGAGAGCAGCAGUGGUGGUAGCAGCAUCAACAAUGCACGAUGGGUUUUUAUUUCCACCACAUCCGAAACGUGCAGUUAGCCUGGAGAGAGAGGGCAGGCAGAAGCAGCUCCCUUUGUCCAGAUGAUGCCUCCUGUGUGGAGGACCUCCCAUUUCUGGCCGAAGGAUCUGUAUGUUGAAGGAAGGAGACUAGGCCAUUUUCUGGGUUCAUUCUGUGUCUAUAUAUAAUAACCUAAUCGUAGGCUUUACAGGAAAGGAACCCCGGAAUGUGGUCCACCGCUAGAAUGAUGACGACUCCUGGAACUUUCUCUGAUUCUUAUUACCCCUCCUGUGAUACCUAUCACCCUUUGUAUUCAAAUGCUUUUCAUAUUUAUUUGGAACAGUUACAGUGCUUCACCCAGACCAGCGCACAUCACAUCAGAGAGGAAGACACAUAUGUGAUUCAUUUUCUUAAGCCUGAAGUCUAAGGAUUUACCUAAGGCCCCAGGAAUGUUGUGAGUUUCAGGGCUCUUUGUUCAAAGGAGUGAUUUGCGUUUCUGUGAUGGAACCAGCCAUGUCUCCAGAAGUUUCAGCAGAGGACCUGAUGCUCUGCGGUACCCUGAGCUUUGGCAGAAACUCCCUGACUGGGCUACAUGCUUCUGUGAGACAAGCUCGUGGGUUCUUCCUGUCUAGAGGGGGAGAGGGACCAAGACAGAACCAGCUGAUUGUCUUAAGGCAAAGGGUUUAAGGCGAAGGCUCAGAUCACAUGAGAAAAUAAAGAGUCCCUUCUGCUGGUGAGCAUGGUGGUUGGAUGAAUGGGGGUAAGGAAGUGGUGAGCUGAAAGGGAGAAAUUAUGCUCAUGACAAUCUCUCGGUGAUCCAGGGGGCAAAGAUACAGUUAGCCAAGGGAUUGUUCCAUGAAGGACUGGACUACAGUUAACAGAGCUGGGUUAACCAUGCAACAUACAAUACCCUGGUACAGUUUAUUUGUCCCCAGUAAAGAGUGUGUCCAGGAAGGUAUAGGUCCCCAGAGGUGGAACCAAUUCGAAGAAUCUUUUGUGACUUUCCUAUCUCUCUCCCUAUCCCUCUCUCUCUCCCCCUCUAUCUCUAUCUCUCUUUCUCAGGGAGGAGAGUUGAACUUUGAGUGUCCUAAAAAUGACUGGGGCUGUGGUUAGGUCUCCAGGAAAACCUGGAUAAAGCCUUGGGGUUGCAGACCUGGCCAUGCCAACGAAACCAACUCUUGCCAGGAA
rnacentral:lncRNA from 1 species